rnacentral:rRNA from 1 species
UACGUAGGGUGCAAGCGUUGUCCGGAAUUAUUGGGCGUAAAGAGCUCGUAGGCGGUUUGUCGCGUCGGCUGUGAAAGCCCGGAGCUCAACUCCGGGUCUGCAGUCAAUACGGGCAGACUUGAGUGUUGCAGGGGAGACUGGAAUUCCUGGUGUAGCGGUGAAAUGCGCAGAUAUCAGGAGGAACACCGGUGGCGAAGGCGGGUCUCUGGGCAACAACUGACGCUGAGGAGCGAAAGCGUGGGGAGCGAACAGG